AUCCAACUGACGAGUCCCAAAUAGGACGAAACUCGCGUGCUGGAU
rnacentral:hammerhead_ribozyme from 1 species